rnacentral:pre_miRNA from 7 species
UAUUGAGUUUGGGCAGCAGAUUCUCCAGGUGGCAUCUCAAGCUGAAAGACCCCCGAAGGGAGACCCUCACUCAAGCACUCAAGCCCCGGGACAGCCGCGGACCCAAGAAGACACUGAGACCG